rnacentral:rRNA from 1 species
GAUGAACGCUGGCGGCGUGCCUAAUACAUGCAAGUCGAGCGAACAGACGAGGAGCUUGCUCCUCUGACGUUAGCGGCGGACGGGUGAGUAACACGUGGAUAACCUACCUAUAAGACUGGGAUAACUUCGGGAAACCGCAGCUAAUACCGGAUAAUAUAUUGAACCGCAUGGUUCAAUAGUGAAAGACGGUUUUGCUGUUACUUAUAGAUGGAUCCGCGCCGCAUUAGCUAGUUGGUAAGGUAACGGCUUACCAAGGCAACGAUGCGUAGCCGACCUGAGAGGGUGAUCGGCCACACUGGAACUGAGACACGGUCCAGACUCCUACGGGAGGCAGCAGUAGGGAAUCUUCCGCAAUGGGCGAAAGCCUGACGGAGCAACGCCGCGUGAGUGAUGAAGGUCUUCGGAUCGUAAAGCUCUGUUAUUAGGGAAGAACAAAUGUGUAAGUAACUAUGCACGUCUUGACGGUACCUAAUCAGAAAGCCACGGCUAACUACGUG